GGCACUGUAACGUUAGGUGCUGUCUCCGCUUUUUUUUCUUUCUUUUUUUUUUAAAACAAGCUAUUUGCUGAUUUGUAUUAGGUACCAUAGAGUGAGGCGAGGAUGAAGCCGAGAGGAUACUGCAGAGGUCUCUGGUGCAUGUGUGUGUGUGUGUGCGUGUGUUUGUGUACGUGUGUUCUGCCCCUAUGAGGCUGCAGCCCUUGUGAAGCACUUGGUCACCUUUUGCAAGAAGGAAUCUGAAUCGUUGCAACGGAAGGUGCGGACUCGUCGUGGGGAGAUGUUGCUCCUCACUGCAGAUGGAUAAUUUUCCUUUUUAUCAGGAAUCUCACAUGAAGAGUAAAGAGUAAUUAAAAUGUGCAGGAUGACAAGAUGGAGCAAACAGUGCUUGUACCACCAGGACCUGACAGCUUCAACUUCUUCACCAGAGAAUCCCUUGCAGCUAUUGAAAGGCGCAUUGCAGAAGAGAAGGCUAAGAAUCCCAAGCCAGACAAAAAAGAUGAUGAUGAAAAUGGCCCAAAGCCAAACAGUGACUUGGAAGCUGGGAAGAACCUUCCAUUUAUCUAUGGAGACAUUCCUCCAGAGAUGGUGUCGGAGCCUCUGGAGGACCUGGACCCCUACUAUAUCAAUAAGAAGACUUUUAUAGUAUUGAAUAAAGGGAAGGCCAUCUUCCGGUUCAGUGCCACCUCCGCCCUGUACAUUUUAACACCCUUCAAUCCUCUUAGGAAAAUAGCUAUUAAGAUUUUGGUACACUCAUUAUUCAGCAUGUUAAUCAUGUGCACUAUUUUGACAAACUGUGUAUUUAUGACAAUGAGUAACCCUCCCGACUGGACAAAGAAUGUGGAGUACACCUUCACAGGAAUAUAUACUUUUGAAUCACUAAUAAAAAUUAUUGCAAGGGGCUUCUGUUUAGAAGAUUUUACUUUCCUUCGCGACCCAUGGAACUGGCUGGACUUCACUGUCAUUACAUUCGCAUAUGUGACGGAGUUUGUGGACCUGGGCAAUGUCUCAGCAUUGAGAACAUUCAGAGUUCUUCGAGCAUUGAAAACUAUUUCAGUCAUUCCAGGCCUGAAGACCAUCGUGGGGGCCCUGAUCCAGUCGGUGAAGAAGCUGUCUGACGUCAUGAUACUCACUGUGUUCUGUCUCAGUGUGUUCGCACUCAUCGGGUUGCAGCUCUUCAUGGGCAACCUGAGGAAUAAAUGUGUACAGUGGCCUCCCACCAACGCUUCCCUUGAGGAACAUAGCAUAGAGAAGAAUAUAACUAUGGAUUACAAUGGCACACUUGUAAAUGAAACCGUGUUCGAGUUUGACUGGAAAUCAUACAUUCAAGACUCAAGAUAUCAUUAUUUCCUGGAGGGUGUUUUAGAUGCACUGCUGUGUGGAAAUAGCUCUGAUGCAGGCCAAUGUCCAGAAGGAUAUAUGUGUGUAAAAGCUGGUAGAAACCCUAAUUAUGGUUACACAAGCUUUGAUACCUUCAGUUGGGCAUUUUUGUCCCUGUUUCGACUGAUGACUCAGGACUUCUGGGAAAAUCUAUACCAACUGACAUUGCGUGCUGCUGGCAAAACCUACAUGAUAUUUUUUGUGCUGGUCAUUUUCUUGGGCUCAUUCUACCUGAUAAACUUGAUCCUGGCUGUGGUGGCCAUGGCCUAUGAGGAGCAGAAUCAGGCCACACUGGAGGAGGCUGAACAGAAAGAGGCAGAAUUUCAGCAGAUGUUGGAGCAACUUAAGAAGCAGCAAGAGGCUGCACAGCAGGCAGCGGCUACAACAGCCUCAGAACAUUCCAGGGAGCCCAGUGCAGCAGGCAGGCUCUCAGAUAGCUCUUCAGAAGCCUCUAAGUUGAGUUCGAAGAGUGCUAAAGAAAGACGAAAUCGGAGGAAAAAAAGGAAACAGAAAGAGCAGUCUGGAGGAGAAGAGAAAGAUGAUGAUGAAUUCCACAAGUCUGAGUCUGAAGACAGCAUCAGGAGGAAGGGGUUUCGCUUCUCCAUAGAAGGGAAUAGACUGACAUAUGAAAAGAGGUACUCUUCCCCGCAUCAGUCUCUGUUAAGCAUUCGUGGUUCCCUGUUCUCCCCAAGACGCAAUAGCAGAACAAGUCUUUUCAGCUUUAGAGGGCGAGCCAAGGAUGUGGGGUCUGAGAAUGACUUUGCUGAUGAUGAACACAGCACCUUUGAGGAUAAUGAGAGCCGUAGAGACUCACUGUUCGUUCCCCGAAGACACGGAGAGCGACGCAACAGUAACCUGAGCCAGACCAGCAGGUCCUCCCGAAUGCUGGCGGUGUUUCCAGCCAAUGGGAAGAUGCACAGCACGGUGGAUUGCAAUGGUGUGGUUUCCUUGGUUGGUGGACCCUCAGUUCCCACAUCGCCAGUUGGACAGCUUCUGCCAGAGGUGAUAAUAGAUAAGCCAGCUACUGAUGACAAUGGAACAACCACUGAAACUGAGAUGAGAAAGAGGAGGUCGAGCUCUUUCCAUGUUUCCAUGGACUUUCUAGAAGAUCCUUCCCAGAGGCAAAGGGCAAUGAGCAUAGCCAGCAUCUUAACAAAUACAGUAGAAGAACUAGAAGAAUCCAGGCAGAAAUGUCCACCCUGUUGGUAUAAAUUUUCCAACAUAUUCUUAAUUUGGGACUGUUCUCCAUAUUGGCUGAAAGUUAAACAUAUUGUCAACCUGGUGGUGAUGGACCCAUUUGUUGAUCUGGCCAUUACCAUCUGCAUUGUGUUAAAUACGCUCUUCAUGGCUAUGGAGCACUACCCCAUGACUGAACAUUUCAACCAUGUUCUUACAGUGGGAAACUUGGUCUUCACUGGGAUUUUCACAGCAGAAAUGUUCCUGAAAAUCAUCGCAAUGGAUCCUUACUAUUACUUCCAAGAAGGCUGGAAUAUCUUUGAUGGUUUCAUUGUGACACUCAGCCUGGUAGAACUUGGCCUUGCCAAUGUGGAAGGAUUGUCAGUUCUCCGUUCAUUUCGACUGCUCCGAGUGUUCAAGUUGGCAAAGUCUUGGCCCACACUGAAUAUGCUCAUUAAGAUCAUUGGUAACUCGGUGGGAGCACUGGGCAACCUGACUCUGGUGUUGGCCAUCAUUGUCUUUAUUUUUGCCGUGGUUGGCAUGCAGCUGUUUGGAAAAAGUUACAAAGAUUGUGUCUGCAAAAUUGCCACUGACUGCAAACUCCCACGUUGGCACAUGAACGACUUCUUCCACUCGUUCCUGAUCGUGUUCCGCGUGCUGUGUGGGGAGUGGAUAGAGACCAUGUGGGACUGCAUGGAGGUGGCAGGACAAGCUAUGUGCCUUACUGUCUUCAUGAUGGUCAUGGUGAUUGGGAACCUUGUGGUCUUGAACCUCUUUCUGGCCUUGCUUCUGAGCUCAUUUAGUGCAGACAACCUUGCAGCCACUGAUGAUGACAAUGAGAUGAACAACCUGCAGAUUGCUGUGGACAGGAUGCACAAAGGAAUAGCUUAUGUAAAAAGAAAAAUAUAUGAAUUCAUUCAACAAUCCUUUGUUAAGAAACAGAAGAUUCUAGAUGAAAUUAAGCCACUUGAUGAUCUAAACAACAGAAAAGACAAUUGUAUCUCUAACCACACAACAGAAAUUGGGAAAGAUCUGGACUGUCUGAAAGAUGUGAAUGGAACCACAAGUGGCAUAGGGACGGGCAGCAGUGUGGAGAAGUACAUCAUUGAUGAGAGUGAUUAUAUGUCAUUCAUAAACAACCCCAGCCUCACUGUGACUGUGCCCAUUGCUGUGGGAGAGUCUGACUUUGAGAACUUAAACACAGAAGACUUUAGCAGUGAAUCAGAUCUAGAAGAAAGCAAAGAGAAACUCAACGAAAGCAGUAGCUCCUCAGAGGGAAGCACAGUAGACAUUGGGGCGCCUGCAGAGGAACAGCCUGUCAUUGAACCAGAAGAAACCCUUGAGCCCGAAGCUUGCUUCACUGAAGGCUGUGUCCAGAGAUUCAAGUGCUGUCAAAUCAGCGUGGAAGAAGGAAGAGGGAAACAGUGGUGGAACCUACGGAGGACGUGCUUCCGAAUAGUUGAACACAACUGGUUUGAGACCUUCAUUGUGUUCAUGAUUCUCCUGAGUAGUGGUGCCCUGGCCUUUGAGGAUAUAUAUAUUGAUCAGCGAAAGACGAUCAAAACCAUGCUGGAGUAUGCUGACAAAGUCUUCACUUACAUUUUCAUCCUGGAGAUGCUCCUCAAAUGGGUGGCCUAUGGCUAUCAAACAUACUUCACCAAUGCCUGGUGUUGGCUAGACUUCUUAAUUGUUGAUGUUUCAUUGGUCAGUUUAACAGCAAAUGCCUUGGGUUACUCUGAACUCGGGGCCAUCAAAUCCCUAAGGACACUAAGAGCUCUGAGACCCCUAAGAGCCUUAUCACGAUUUGAAGGGAUGAGGGAUAAUCUUGCUCCAACUUGGAUGGGGUGGAGCGGUGGUUCCUCCCCUCAGCCCUUUAUUAUGGGUGGUUGUGAAUGCCCUGUUAGGAGCAAUUCCAUCCAUCAUGAAUGUGCUUCUGGUUUGCCUUAUAUUCUGGCUAAUUUUCAGCAUCAUGGGCGUAAAUUUGUUUGCUGGCAAAUUCUACCACUGUGUUAACACCACAACUGGUGACAUAUUUGAGAUCAGCGAAGUCAAUAAUCAUUCUGAUUGCCUAAAACUAAUAGAAAGAAAUGAGACCGCCCGGUGGAAAAAUGUGAAAGUAAACUUUGAUAAUGUAGGAUUUGGGUAUCUUUCUUUGCUUCAAGUUGCCACAUUUAAGGGCUGGAUGGAUAUCAUGUAUGCUGCAGUUGAUUCCAGAAAUGUUGAACUACAGCCUAAGUAUGAGGAAAGCCUGUACAUGUAUUUGUACUUCGUCAUCUUCAUCAUCUUCGGGUCCUUCUUUACCCUGAACCUGUUUAUUGGUGUCAUUAUCGACAAUUUCAACCAGCAAAAGAAGAAGUUUGGAGGUCAAGACAUCUUUAUGACAGAAGAACAGAAGAAAUACUAUAAUGCAAUGAAGAAAUUAGGAUCAAAAAAGCCACAAAAGCCUAUCCCUCGACCUGGAAACAAAUUUCAAGGAAUGGUUUUUGACUUUGUAACCAGACAAGUGUUUGAUAUCAGCAUCAUGAUCCUCAUCUGUCUGAACAUGGUGACCAUGAUGGUGGAAACGGAUGACCAGAGCGAUUAUGUGACAAGCAUUUUGUCACGCAUCAACCUGGUGUUCAUCGUCCUGUUCACCGGCGAGUGUGUGCUCAAGCUCAUCUCGCUCCGCCAUUAUUAUUUCACCAUUGGAUGGAACAUUUUCGAUUUUGUGGUGGUCAUCCUCUCCAUUGUAGGGAUGUUUCUUGCGGAGCUAAUAGAAAAGUAUUUUGUGUCUCCUACCCUGUUCCGAGUCAUCCGCCUGGCCAGGAUUGGACGAAUCCUACGCCUGAUCAAAGGUGCCAAGGGGAUCCGCACGCUGCUCUUUGCUCUGAUGAUGUCCCUUCCUGCGCUGUUUAACAUCGGCCUCCUGCUUUUUCUCGUCAUGUUCAUCUACGCCAUCUUUGGGAUGUCCAACUUUGCCUAUGUUAAGAGGGAAGUUGGGAUUGAUGACAUGUUCAACUUUGAGACCUUCGGCAACAGCAUGAUCUGCCUGUUCCAAAUCACCACCUCUGCGGGCUGGGAUGGACUGCUGGCCCCCAUCCUCAACAGCAAACCCCCUGACUGUGACCCUAAUAAAGUUAACCCUGGAAGCUCGGUGAAGGGAGACUGUGGGAACCCAUCUGUGGGGAUUUUCUUUUUUGUCAGCUACAUCAUCAUAUCCUUCCUGGUUGUGGUGAACAUGUACAUUGCUGUCAUCCUGGAGAACUUCAGCGUUGCCACAGAAGAAAGUGCAGAGCCUCUGAGUGAGGACGACUUUGAGAUGUUCUACGAGGUCUGGGAGAAGUUCGACCCUGACGCCACCCAGUUCAUGGAAUUUGAAAAAUUAUCUCAGUUUGCAGCUGCUCUAGAACCCCCUCUCAAUUUGCCACAACCAAACAAACUUCAGCUCAUUGCCAUGGACCUGCCCAUGGUGAGUGGAGACCGCAUCCACUGCCUGGACAUCUUAUUUGCUUUUACAAAGCGGGUGUUGGGUGAGAGUGGAGAGAUGGAUGCUCUUCGAAUCCAGAUGGAAGAGCGGUUCAUGGCUUCCAACCCCUCCAAGGUCUCUUAUCAGCCCAUCACUACUACAUUAAAACGCAAACAAGAGGAGGUGUCAGCUGUUAUCAUUCAGCGAGCUUAUAGGCGCCACCUUUUGAAGCGAACAGUAAAACAAGCUUCAUUCACAUACAAUAAGAACAAACUCAAAGGUGGGGCUAAUCUUCUUGUAAAAGAAGACAUGCUCAUUGACAGAAUAAACGAAAACUCUAUUACGGAGAAAACUGACCUGACAAUGUCCACAGCAGCUUGUCCGCCCUCCUACGAUCGGGUGACAAAGCCAAUCGUGGAGAAACACGAGCAGGAAGGGAAGGAUGAAAAAGCCAAAGGGAAAUGAACAAAAACAACAAAAAAAAAUAAUAAAUUGGGUGACAAAUUGUUUACAGCCUGUGAAGUCAAAAGGACUCCUUUAAGAAGUCAAUGCCAAACUGACUGUUUUUACACAAAUUCACUUUAAGGUCAGUGCCUCAAUAAGACAGUGACCCCCUUGUCGGCAAACUCUGUGACUGUGUAAAGGGGAGAUAACCUUGACAGGAGGGUACUGUUCUAACUACCAGCUGACACUGCUGAAGACAAGAGACAAAUGGCUAUGCAGACUGUAGGGAUCAGUCUAAAGGGGUGCAGAGCUAUAAUUUGGGGGUUAAUGUGAAACACUUUAGUGUAGUAACUCUAUCCACCGUUUGCAUUUCAACUGCCACAUUUGUCAGGUUUUUUACAAACUCUGUUAGUGGAUUCAUCUUUUUUUUAAUCCAUGUGUUGUUUGUUACAUGUGACUAUUUUUGUAAGCAGGGUUUCUGUUGGGAAAUAGACUAAAGGAACUCUUUUCCCGGUGUGUCACCUGGGAGUGUUGACAUCCUUAUGGCCCUCCCGUCUGCACAACGGUGUGGUUUCGCAUGAGGGCAUGUUGCACCUUAGGAUCAUGCAUGAGAAAAAGUCGAAAGGAAAGCAAAGACAGUUCUUCAACAGUUCUAUGUCAUCUGUGUUUCUGCGGGGGGAGGGGGCGGUACGGAGGUGAUCGCUAGAUCGUGGGCUUUGCUGAGCUGGGUUUGUCAAAAUCUAGUCCUUAGUCCAAGGAGAUUGUUCAGACAGGUCAUCAAGUCUUAGGAGGUGCAAACUUCAUUCAAAUGUCUGGAGUCACGCUACAUUUCUGUUCACUGUCUCUGAAAGGUCUCUAAAUUAUGACUCUGACUCCCUACCCCCAACCCUAGCAGAGCGAAUUGACCAAAAGAACCCUUUAUAAAUCCCCGCUUCCUCCUGCACUUUGUUUAGCCAUCUUCAGCUCUCAGCAAGGUUGACACUGUAUGUGUUAAUGAAAUGCUAUUUAUUAUGUAAAUAGUCAUUUUACUCUGUGGUGCACGUUUGAGCAAACAAAUAAUGACGUAAGCACAGUAUUUAUUGCAUCAAAUAUGUACCACGAGAAAUGUAGAGUGCAAGCUGUCCACCGGAAAUAUACUGUACUCUGUACCAUUGUAGAUAGUGUGGAUGCUGCCAAUGCAUGUCGAUAUUACCACGUUGCGGUAUCUAGUUUCUCUCAGCACUCAGAAUCUCACUCACGAGAAACCAUAGGUCAGUGGCUAAGUCAAGGAAACUGUUCAGCAGACUUCAUUUCUUUAAGUCAUUAAGCAAUAGUUUGCAGCACUUUAACAAUGUUUGGGUUGUUUUUAAAAUUUAAGUGGAUAACGUUCAAUGUAUAGCCAGACUGUACAUACGUGUUCAAAAGACAACACUACUGCUUAACCUGUUAAAAACAUGUUUAGAGUUUUAUAAGCAAAUAUAAAUACUGUACAAAGUCACUUUCUUUUACUUUUCAGCAUUAUGUACAUAUGAAGAGGAAAUUAUCUUCAGGUUGAUAUCACAAUCACUUUUCUUACUUUCUGUCCACAGCAGUUUUUCAUGGAAGAUAUUUGCUAACUAAGAAAUGAAACUAUGACUGGGUAGUGGUAGAUCUCUGCUUUUUUAUUACAAUUGUUAAUUUUGGAUUAUUUCAUAAUUUUAAGGGGCAAAAUACACUCACAACUUCACAUCCAAAUUAUGAUUUGCAAUUGGAAAAGGUAUAACAUUUGAUUUAUAUUUAUUGUAGUGUUUGUGCUAACAGAUGACCAGAGUGCUUUUUUUUCUCAUUUUUUUCUUUAUUUCCCCAAUUUCUGUUUAUUUUUCUUUGCUUUGAAAUCAUGCUUCUUUAGAUUGUUCUAAAUAUAAAUGUGGGCUUCAGAAUUUCUUUUCCUCAAAAUCAGAGAGGAUUACACUUAUAUAGUCAAUUACAUCAAGAUAUUUGUGUUUCUUACAGAAGCAGACCGUAGGCACCUCUUUUUCUUAAAAAAAAAAUAUUUAGGCAAACCGUAUUCAUGAACUGCAUGUUGGAAAAUGCUACUAUUAGCCCAAAAUGAUGCUAAUCACAAUUAAAAAAUGUGCAAAUCUAAUAAAAUUAAUUUUUUAUUUUA